UACGUAGGGGGCAAGCGUUGUCCGGAAUCAUUGGGCGUAAAGAGCGUGUAGGCGGCCAGAUAAGUCUGCUGUGAAAUCUCGAGGCUCAACUUCGAGCUGUCGGUGGAAACUGUCUGGCUAGAGUCCGGAAGAGGAGAAUGGAAUUCCUGGUGUAGCGGUGAAAUGCGCAGAUAUCAGGAAGAACACCCGUGGCGAAGGCGGUUCUCUGGGACGGUACUGACGCUGAGACGCGAAAGCGUGGGGAGCGAACAGG
rnacentral:rRNA from 1 species